GUUCUAUAUGUAUUAUUAUGCCUUUUUGUCACUUUUUUGUGACAUUUUUCUAUAAACAAUAUUUUUAAUUCUAAUAUUUUCCAUCAAAUGAAUUUAGCCUCACCUGCAGUUUAAUUUCUAGUAUCAUUAUUUUAAAAUUAUUUAUACACAAAUUAUCUUUCUCAUCUCAGUUAGUAAUAUGAGCUGGUGAUAGAAAUGUAAUGUGCACAUCUGGUUUUCAUUAUCUGUGGAGCUGUAGAGACAGGAAGUACCAUAAAUUAAUGUACACAGAGUUUGAGGCCAAAUUAAGGGCAGAGCAUUUCUUGUUUGUAUAUAUUUCCAUUAUAACUUAUAAAACCAAAGAUAAAAAAGAUGUAUUUAUAAUUAUUUAUAUAUUAUAAUAAAUAACAAAUAUUCAAGAUUUAGGCAAUGGAUAUUUAUAAUUAUGGGCAAAUUUCAAAGGGAUCACAUUGAAACAAUACCCUAAGCAACCUUGAUCAACAUAUAUUCAAAAUUUGAACUGGACAUGACCAUGCAUACAACAAACAAAGAUGUCUUCUAUCAGGAACAAAGUAAUAUGAAUUUUACAAUGGAUUUAGACAUGUUAGAUCCAAAAGAUCCAAUUGAUUCUAUUGACACUGGGUAAUGCAGAUGCUAGCCUUCAGUUGACAUGACUCUUGGAUUCAGGAAGAUUGGUGUUUACACACAAUUUGGACAACAUCUUUUGUAUUUUUGAAAUCAGAAAAUUCAACUUAAAGGACAGUGAGACUUAUAGAGAAACAGAACUGAAAGCUACACAGAUGUAACACGACAACCUAUAGAGGACAGAGACCAUUUCCAACCUACAGAGGACAGAGACAUUUUUUUUUAUUAUUAAAUCAUAAAUUAUUAAAUGUUUAGUUUUUAAUUCCAAAUUUUACACCUGAAUUGUUGAAAGAUUUGCUGCAAUGUUGCCGCAAUAUUGCAAGAAAUUAAUUUUCCUGCAAUAUUGCUGCAACAUUGCAGCUAAUGAACUUGCCGCAAUAUUGCUGCAACAAUCACCGCAACUGUUUGCAAGAAAACUAAUUUGCAUACGAAAAAUGAAUAUUUGCAGCAAUAUUGCCGCAACUAUUUGCAGCAACAUUGCCGCAAAUAUUUGCAAGAAGCCUUAUUUUUCUGUAAGGGAG